UGGACUGUUCUUUCUUGGUCUCCUCUGCCUU
rnacentral:piRNA from 1 species